AUAGGAUUGGACAGAAUGUCAGAAGCCUCAAGCUGACAUUCACCAGCCUUUACCAAAAGGGAUGGUAAUUCUAGCUUUCUCUGUUAACAGUUGAAAGUUCUCAGCACCAUCCAAUGGCUACAUCUACCAUUAAUACUCAUAAUACCUCUUAGGCUCCAAAAAUACUGUAGUAAUCUUUGUAUCUGCUCUAGACUUUUGGACUAGUAGCUGAGUUUGGGCCUUUAAGAAAUUUGGCCCUAUAAUUAUGCUGUUUUCAUGUGAGAGUGAUUCUAGGAAUCCAAAUAUGCUGCCCCUCCAUCUUCUCUAAUGCUGUACAUGACCCAAACUUCCUCUAUCUCUCUUCAGAGGCCUUCCUGGGGAUUGAUUUUGGGUCUGCCUUUACACUGUUGACAACAACUUUUGUGUCAUUCAUUUGCUCUGAAAGAGACCCUCAAAAUGUUUUUCAACACAGAGUCCACACUGGUUUCAUAUGUGAUGAGGAGAAAAGCAAACAGUGGAGAACAGCAGUAGAUACGACACAGAAAAGCAAGAAAGAAAAAUUAAGGACUAAAAGACAGAGCUGUUUCUAAAACAUCAGUUUCAUUCCCAGAAGUGCUGCAAGUGUGAAAGGCACAGUGUGACACCAUAAGAGACUUACAUCUCUGCACAAACAAACACAGUCUGGGUGGCAGCAAUGAAGCAGAAGCUUCCCUAGGGCAUACACUAGGAUUAUCAACAAGGGAGGACUACUUCUGGAUUAAAGCUUUGGCCUGCUGUCAACUACGGCAAAACUCUCACUGAAGUCAGCAUAGCCAGGAUUUCACGUCUGUUGCAGCAAUUUUGACUCCCUGCCUGUUCUGCCUUGGGACUUCCAGCCAGCAUGAAAAGGGUCUUAACAGUGCCAGAAGUUUUUUAUUAUGAACUGCAGGCAGAAGUCCGGAAAUACUUCACAUAAACAACCAAAUACUCAUCAGCCAUUUAAGAAAUUUAAGACGCUGCCAAGCUCCAGGGGAUUCAAACCUGAAUACACAAGUAUGACGUUUCACAUUGGCACAGCAUGCUGAAACACCCUUAUCCUGUUUAAGUGUUUUUUUUUUUCCUUUUGUGAAAGUGUUAUGGCAGAAGAUUCACGUUUUGAUUGAACACAGAGCAAGAAGCAAGCUAAAUUAUAUACUCAAUACAAAUCUCAUGCAAUAAUGAUGAAAGAAGUGCAAAAUGACUGUAACAAAAGCAGACACUUUGUGAAGUAAAGUCUCCUCUAAAUUCAGUAUGUGUAGGCAAUAUAGGGAAAAUGGAAAUGCAUUAAGGAAAAGAUGAAACUGUAGAUUAGACUGGCCAAAAGUCUUAAUGAGACUGUAAAAUAUUAUGAUAAGUGUGG
rnacentral:lncRNA from 1 species